AUAGCCACCAAUUUUAUAUUUCUGUAGCAUUGUGGGCAGGGUGGCAUAUCUCAACAAUUGCAGGCAGUUGUAAAAGGAUAUUAUGAGGCAUUUGUUGUUGCAUAUAAAAACUUGGCAAAUAAUGGUACAGGGGAGGCUAUGGGUUGGGAUUCAGAUGCAUUGACCCCAACCAAUGUGUGGGAGGGAAGAAAUUGGAUACUUGCCAAUGAAUCAAUAGGAUCUUUUGGGGGGGAAUCAAAUAUAUCUUCUAAAAAAUCAUUGACUAAAUACAUUUUUCCUGCCUGCUAUCGCCCUACUGAAUUCAAUGAGACUAUUGUAGGAUUGCAGUAUUAUAAGCUCUUUCUUCGUCCUUAUGGAAAGGCAUGUGGGUGUUAUAUGUUAAUCUAAGAUUCUGCAAAUUAAUAGUCUCUAAGGUUCCAUAAGUAAUUUUUAUUCUUUUCCUUUUUUGCAACAUAUAGAAAUGAGAGACUCUAUUUCAAGUUGAAGGAGAGAGGGUAAACUAUUAUGGUGGUUUGCUUUUAUUAUGUGUGUUUUCAUCUAUCUGACAGUGCAAUCCUACAUACGGGUCUAUUCAGAAGUGGGUGCUUAUAGGUAGGUGCUUAUAGUAUAACAGAUUAAGUUACCUCUCAUUCAUACUGUUGACAAAAAAAUUAAAAAGCAUUUCUACAACUUCAGUGCUUAGAUGACUACUGCUUCAAGGGAAGAGGAUGGUGAGGAAACAGGUCUUCCUUGGCCCCAAUGCAGUCACCAGCUGUCACUCAAUCUAUAACCUCUCCCCCACCCCUUUUUGGAACACCCUUUUUGGCCGUCACCAUAGACCAUGUUUCUGUCCUCAAAAUAGCUUCACUGCCACAGUGAAGCAUCUCUGGUGGUGGACCUGCGUGGAGAGGGAGAUAGAGAAUCCAACAGCUCCUCAAACACCCUUUCCAGGAGCUGAAGAUUGUUCUCUCAUAAGAUCUAGAUUUGGUUCCAAUAUUUUAACUCCUGUCCUGUUCUCUCGCACAAUUACCAUAGCAAAAAAAAAAGGCUGGUUUGUGUACAUAAAAAUGUCUUUAUUUACAUCCAUGAAUAAGCAUGCUACUCUGCUACAUUGAAAGGAAUUAAUGCUUAGCAAAUAAAUUUCACAGUUGCCAAGAUUCUGGACUUCCUUCUCUGGAUCUGCAGUAAUGAAAUACUGAAGAACACUUUGGAAGAAAAGAAGAAUUGAUCUUCUUGAAACUACAGAUAUCCAAAGUCCAGGGAGCAGGAUGUUGCACUGUUCCGCCGUUUGACCACAUAGCAAAGAACAUAUUUAUACCAUCAGGUGCCACAGAAAGGCACUAGCCACAUCAAGAGAUUCAUCGCAUCCUGGUCAUCGUUUCUUUGAGCUCCUGCCAUCGGGACGGAGAUAUAGAACAAUGAAGGCGAGAACGAGCCGUCUCAAGAAGAGUUUCUUUCCUCGAGCAAUUUUGGCCUUAAAUGGAAAUUCUGGACUU